rnacentral:rRNA from 1 species
UUAAGCGACUAAGCGUACACGGUGGAUGCCCUGGCAGUCAGAGGCGAUGAAGGACGUGCUAAUCUGCGAUAAGCGCCGGUAAGGUGAUAUGAACCGUUAUAACCGGCGAUUUCCGAAUGGGGAAACCCAGUGUGAUUCGUCACACUAUCAUUAACUGAAUCCAUAGGUUAAUGAGGCGAACCGGGGGAACUGAAACAUCUAAGUACCCCGAGGAAAAGAAAUCAACCGAGAUUCCCCCAGUAGCGGCGAGCGAACGGGGAGGAGCCCAGAGCCUGAAUCAGCAUGUGUGUUAGUGGAAGCGUCUGGAAAGGCGCGCGAUACAGGGUGACAGCCCCGUACACAAAAGCGCAUGUGCUGUGAGCUCGAUGAGUAGGGCGGGACACGUGGUAUCCUGUCUGAAUAUGGGGGGACCAUCCUCCAAGGCUAAAUACUCCUGACUGACCGAUAGUGAACCAGUACCGUGAGGGAAAGGCGAAAAGAACCCCGGCGAGGGGAGUGAAAAAGAACCUGAAACCGUGUACGUACAAGCAGUGGGAGCACCCUUUGGGGUGUGACUGCGUACCUUUUGUAUAAUGGGUCAGCGACUUAUAUUCUGUAGCAAGGUUAACCGUAUAGGGGAGCCGGAGGGAAACCGAGUCUUAAUUGGGCGUUAAGUUGCAGGGUAUAGACCCGAAACCCGGUGAUCUAGCCAUGGGCAGGUUGAAGGUUGGGUAACACUAACUGGAGGACCGAACCGACUAAUGUUGAAAAAUUAGCGGAUGACCUGUGGCUGGGGGUGAAAGGCCAAUCAAACCGGGAGAUAGCUGGUUCUCCCCGAAAGCUAUUUAGGUAGCGCCUCGUGAAUUCAUCUCCGGGGGUAGAGCACUGUUUCGGCUAGGGGGCCAUCCCGGCUUACCAACCCGAUGCAAACUGCGAAUACCGGAGAAUGUUAUCACGGGAGACACACGGCGGGUGCUAACGUCCGUCGUGAAGAGGGAAACAACCCAGACCGCCAGCUAAGGUCCCAAAGUCAUGGUUAAGUGGGAAACGAUGUGGGAAGGCCCAGACAGCCAGGAUGUUGGCUUAGAAGCAGCCAUCAUUUAAAGAAAGCGUAAUAGCUCACUGGUCGAGUCGGCCUGCGCGGAAGAUGUAACGGGGCUAAACCAUGCACCGAAGCUGCGGCAGCGACACUGUGUGUUGUUGGGUAGGGGAGCGUUCUGUAAGCCUGUGAAGGUGUGUCGUGAGGCAUGCUGGAGGUAUCAGAAGUGCGAAUGCUGACAUAAGUAACGAUAAAGCGGGUGAAAAGCCCGCUCGCCGGAAGACCAAGGGUUCCUGUCCAACGUUAAUCGGGGCAGGGUGAGUCGACCCCUAAGGCGAGGCCGAAAGGCGUAGUCGAUGGGAAACGGGUUAAUAUUCCCGUACUUGGUGUUACUGCGAAGGGGGGACGGAGAAGGCUAUGUUGGCCGGGCGACGGUUGUCCCGGUUUAAGCGUGUAGGCUGGUUUUCCAGGCAAAUCCGGAAAAUCAAGGCUGAGGCGUGACGACGAGGCACUACGGUGCUGAAGCAACAAAUGCCCUGCUUCCAGGAAAAGCCUCUAAGCAUCAGGUAACACGAAAUCGUACCCCAAACCGACACAGGUGGUCAGGUAGAGAAUACCAAGGCGCUUGAGAGAACUCGGGUGAAGGAACUAGGCAAAAUGGUGCCGUAACUUCGGGAGAAGGCACGCUGACAUGUAGGUGAAGUGAUUUACUCAUGGAGCUGAAGUCAGUCGAAGAUACCAGCUGGCUGCAACUGUUUAUUAAAAACACAGCACUGUGCAAACACGAAAGUGGACGUAUACGGUGUGACGCCUGCCCGGUGCCGGAAGGUUAAUUGAUGGGGUCAGCGCAAGCGAAGCUCCUGAUCGAAGCCCCGGUAAACGGCGGCCGUAACUAUAACGGUCCUAAGGUAGCGAAAUUCCUUGUCGGGUAAGUUCCGACCUGCACGAAUGGCGUAAUGAUGGCCAGGCUGUCUCCACCCGAGACUCAGUGAAAUUGAACUCGCUGUGAAGAUGCAGUGUACCCGCGGCAAGACGGAAAGACCCCGUGAACCUUUACUAUAGCUUGACACUGAACAUUGAGCCUUGAUGUGUAGGAUAGGUGGGAGGCUUUGAAGUGUGGACGCCAGUCUGCAUGGAGCCGACCUUGAAAUACCACCCUUUAAUGUUUGAUGUUCUAACGUGGACCCGUAAUCCGGGUUGCGGACAGUGUCUGGUGGGUAGUUUGACUGGGGCGGUCUCCUCCUAAAGAGUAACGGAGGAGCACGAAGGUUGGCUAAUCCUGGUCGGACAUCAGGAGGUUAGUGCAAUGGCAUAAGCCAGCUUGACUGCGAGCGUGACGGCGCGAGCAGGUGCGAAAGCAGGUCAUAGUGAUCCGGUGGUUCUGAAUGGAAGGGCCAUCGCUCAACGGAUAAAAGGUACUCCGGGGAUAACAGGCUGAUACCGCCCAAGAGUUCAUAUCGACGGCGGUGUUUGGCACCUCGAUGUCGGCUCAUCACAUCCUGGGGCUGAAGUAGGUCCCAAGGGUAUGGCUGUUCGCCAUUUAAAGUGGUACGCGAGCUGGGUUUAGAACGUCGUGAGACAGUUCGGUCCCUAUCUGCCGUGGGCGCUGGAGAACUGAGGGGGGCUGCUCCUAGUACGAGAGGACCGGAGUGGACGCAUCACUGGUGUUCGGGUUGUCAUGCCAAUGGCACUGCCCGGUAGCUAAAUGCGGAAGAGAUAAGUGCUGAAAGCAUCUAAGCACGAAACUUGCCCCGAGAUGAGUUCUCCCUGAGACUUAAAGUCUCCUGAAGGAACGUUGAAGACGACGACGUUGAUAGGCCGGGUGUGUAAGCGCAGCGAUGCGUUGAGCUAACCGGUACUAAUGAACCGUGAGGCUUAACCUU